rnacentral:piRNA from 1 species
UCCACUCACACUGGCUGCUCAAUGACCGC